CAUUGCGAAAAGUCAUGCGACCUGCACUUUUUGAGAAGCAUUACUCUUUGAACGCACCUUGCGCGUGGAAGACACCUUUCACGAGGUCCUGUUUGAGCAAGAAUAAAAAAAAGCAAUACCUGGCCGUUACGAGAUUAUUUUGACUGACGGCUUAAAAAUAUGCAGAUGGCCCGAACGACUCUAGGGCAGAUGUAAGCAAGCAAGUGGAUCGAUUCGUGUUCAAGUAUCACAAAGCGAUUUACUAGUAGCGUACAUGUACUGCAAGAUUGAAGAUGCAUGCUAAACCAUGCAACUUCAGUUUCACGAUUUUCUUCUCAAAUCAGGAUAGAGGACCCGCUGAACUUAA
rnacentral:misc_RNA from 1 species